AGCAGAGUUAGGAUGUAAGGAUCCCCUGAAGAGUGAGAGAGGAUAUACUAUUGAAAAAAAUUCUUUCAAAUACAUCCUGAUUUAAAAAAGGGUCUCCCAUUACUAUGAUUAUUUAUCACAGCCAUUUUGCAUAGUGCUAAUUACAAUGACAGGACUGUGGGGUACAGGACAUUCCAAUUACCAGCCCAUAAUUCUCUGUUCUUUCGGACAUCUCAUACACACAUCCUAAAGGAUACCUCAAAUAAGUGAAUUUACAAAGAAAAAAGGUUAACAAAGUGAAAAAGAAAUCAUGGUCUCGGUUGCUUCUGUAUUUUUCUUGCUCUUUCUUCCCAAUAUUAAAGGCUGAUUCCUGUUCUAGUGUGUAAGAACUAAUGAAUAGCUGAUUCCAGGGGCAAUGAACUAACUGAUAAAUGCCAGAUGUCUAACCUACUCUCAAUCACAAAUGUUAACCACAGCAUAUAUUGGGAA
rnacentral:lncRNA from 1 species